GAAACCAUCUGCUGGUGGCAGAACACUGUGCAUCAAGACCUCAAGUUCAGAAGAACUCGGUCCGCUGCGGCUAGUCCUGCCUGUGGUAGUGCACCUUAGUGUCUCUGCUGCCCAAAGACAAAGAUAGUAGGGAAACCUGGUAAAACUGCCCUGGAGACCCAUCAGGAAUGAAGUCUCUUAUGCCGUUCCAGCCAUACUCAUUGAACUUCAAGGCAUCCAGCAAGGUCUUGAUGCUGUUGUAAUCCUCUUUCACUUGUUACCAUUACGGAGCAGCACAGCUUUGAGGCUGGUGGACCCCGGAAGGUGCUGAAGCCACCACUGCACAUCAAAAUAGGCCCUGAAACAAUUUGAUAGAGCUCUAGAUAAGGAGUUGGCAGCCUUCAAGUACCUUCAAGACUUCUUCCCCUAGCUGUCUGAGGCAAAGAUCAAAGCCAGUGUAUUAAUACAUCUUAACUAGGAUUCAUA